rnacentral:lncRNA from 1 species
GAUUGUAAUAUGUAGUAAUUAGUUGUUGAGAUUUAUGGCAGCACAAGUGUGUAAAUUUGGCAUGUAUAAUAUUGUAAAUGUGUAACAAUUAGUGGUUGAGAUUUAUGAAAUCUAAAUUCCAAACCAUUUUGGGAGGCCAUGACUACCCCCAAAGACAAACAUCUCCUACUCUUUUGCCAAUUCAUCUUGGAACAUGGUUAGCUUCUCAAUAACGUGACAUAAAUUACCUUAUUAAUUUAAUAGUGUUAGGAAAAAAAAAUGUAUUCUUAUUUGUGUGUCAACUCAUUUGUUUGUUGGAGAAGAGAACCCUAAUAAUUAGAAGUUUGGUCAGAAGAUAAGUAAAGUUUGGCUAUAAAUUGUUCCUUCUGGUAAUCGAAUUUUAGGUUCUUUCGAACAAUUGUUCUUAGAGGAAAAACUCAUUAAUCACUUAAGAUCAAUUAUUUGAUGAAGAGAAAUUGGUUGUUGCUAUUAUAGUUAAUCUCGGUGUUGCAUCUGAUUGAUGAGAAAUUUAUUGACUGUUUUCUAUUUGUUGAAUAGUAUUCCCAAAUCUAUCAGUGUGUAUUCAUUAGGUGUAUGUUGUAAAC